rnacentral:lncRNA from 1 species
UUCAAUGGUCUCAAGCGCUAAAUUGGCUAAUAAAUCACUUAAAAUAAUAAUUCAUAUGUAUAUAUUUGCAAUAAACUUUUAAAAAUAAACAUAUUUAUUGUAGUACACAUACUAACAAGGAAAUAUUUAAAGAUGUAUACUAGCAAUAAACUCUACAACGUCCAAUAUAUUCAAACAUCACAAUUGUUCCAAAAGUCUUCAAUAUUCACUUCAAUAGAUCAAAUUGACUUGGGGCCACCAUUUUAAAUUACAUUAUCCGCAAUUUCCUGCACAUUCAAACUAAAAUUAAAAUUAGAAACAAUAUAUAGUAUGUAUUCAUAUAGUAUCAUGAAUAUACAAGACCAUGGAUUGAAAGAACUUGACUAACUAGCAUAGGUUUCCAUUGGCUCUGUUACAGUUGAACAAAUAGUGCACAACCUUUGUAACAUUUGGAUCGAAUAACUAAUGCUCAAUUAUUAGCCCUUGAACAUCAGUUAGCUGCUCCAAAUAUGAAAGGAAGAAGAUUCAAUCAGUUGCAUUUUUGUAUUGCCAUCAGCACUUUCUUUGGUGCUCGUGUGAUGUUUUCACACAAGCAUAAGAACCAGAAGAAAGAUGCUUUCAGAUAUCUCUGUCAUGUCCAUAACAGGAAGACAAACAUAUGUUCAUACUUUACGUGAUGAGUUAUCUCUUCAUUUCUCCCAAUUCAAUUUGACCACUUUCCCAUCUCAACAUUAGUAGAUACUACCUAUGCUUUCUUAACAUAUUUUCCUUCAGCUACUCAUUCUUUCAGUAUUUUAAACUAUAUUAUAGACUCCUUUUUUAUUAGGAUAUAUUAUAGACACUUCUCUAUAGAAUUCUAAACAACUAGUGUCUAAUCCUUUAUGUAAACAAGAAAAACGAUCAAGUUUUGCAUCGUACUAUCUAAAAUCGACCAAAAACUAAUGUAGUAUGUUAUGGUAACUCCAGAAAAUAACUUGAAAUAAUGAAAAUAAAUACCUUUUCAAGAAUUGUACAUAAGUUGAACUAGAGGAAUGUAGAAGAUUUUGGCCUCACAUAGCUCGUUCACUACUCGCAUGUACCGGAGAAUAUACGUUAGAUUAGAUGCACCUUGCUUUAUCCUGUUUAAUCCAACAGGCAAUAGAAAUCACCAAACCAAAAAAAUGCACCAGCUAGGCUUAAUAAGAACGUAGGUACCAACGAUAAUGGACCAUAACCAUGUAUAAAAAUUUAGACCAAACAUUAACUGAUUGAUUUUGUUCAUUUAUAGGGGUGUUCUUCUCUUUGAGUAGUCAAAACGUUUCAUAGAAAGCGACGAUAAAAAGGCAGUAUAUUAUAUCCAUGUAGCUGUAUAAGGAGAAAUUUUUUACAGAGGUGAAGAUUAAAAUAUAGUAUAUUUAAUCUUAAUCUGCAUAUAAAUAGAGAUCACCGUGAGUCGAUAUGCCAUGUGAUAGACUUUCUAUGUGAGUUCAAAAGAUUGGAUUGUGAUUUCAAGGAUAGAAUCAAGAUAUUAUCUUACUAUAUAUGCCUUACAUUUUUUUUUUCUUUUUCCAUCAUUGAUAUGGAUAACAAAACACUUCACAGAAACUAUAAAAUUUGAGCAUAAAAGAUAUUACUAAGCAUCCUUUGAUUGUAUGUCAGUUUUCUCUAAAUCUCAACUUCUUCGAAGUUCUUACUCUAUCCAUUUUCUAAUUGAUUUUCCUUCAUACCUAAAACAUGUUUUAUUCAAUUUUGUAGGUGUAACUUUAGGCACCAUUCUUGUUUCCACUAUUAUUCUCUCACUUUAUCAAUUUAGUUUGACAAUUAAAAAGGAAGAGAGGAUCAAGUUACACUUCAAAGUUUUUAGAAGACUACAAGGUCACAAGACCAACUAGAUAUUCUUAUGCAAAUAUUUAAGAAAAUAGAUGAUUUUAGUGAAAACUUAGGAGAAGGAAGUCAUGGAACUAUUUAAAAAAGAUAACAUUCCAAGGAAAUCUAUGUUGCAGUAAGAGUCCUACGUGAUUCCAAGGGUAAGGGAGAGAAUUAAUCAACUACAAUCAUUAUAUAUCAGGAUGAAAAUAGUAGGAAAAGCAUCCUGAUUCCACUACUGGAAGUGAUCAAUCUCUGAGCUCAGGCUCUUGUUUUGGCGAAACAAAAAAAAUAUGUAGUCUUUUUGUUUACAAUGGACUUUCAAUAAUGAUUAGACUGGAAGUUUACAAUCGAAAAAAUGUAGUCUCUUUUAUUAGAAGUUUAUAAACUUCUAAUAAGAUCAUUAUGUAAACUAUAAUCAUAAUAAUAACAUGACUUCUAUGGAUAUAGUGUAUACUAUUACCUUUCUAAAGACGGAAUACCCAAAGUUUGAAUGCCCUGGUGGAUUAUAUAUUUGCUAUCAACUACUCACCCUACAACAAUUUCAAGUUCCACACAAGAGUUAGAUAUAAAUCAAGUUUUCUCCAUAAGAGUAAGAUGUCCCAACUGUUUAGGUUCAUUCCACAAUUGCAAUGACAAUCUGGGGGUAGCUUGGUUGUCAAGUUUUUUUUUCCAUAUUAUUAAGUUCAAAUCGCUAUAUAUUUCCAAUCUUCUACCAUAUAUUGCACCAAAUAGCUUGUUGAACUAAAAUUCGCUUAUAAGUAAUCAAGAAUUUUCAAGAAAGCCUUUAUCAAGGCUGAAACCAUCAAAUUACUAUCUUGACUUACAUUAAGUUUUCUCUGUUGGAGAGCUGUCAAACCAUUUUGCAAGGCCAUUUUAAGUUAUCAUGUUCCAUAAAAACUCCACAGUAUAUAAGAUAUAGAACUUUCAGUUCUUGUAAUAAACAUUACAGACAAAUGACAAAUUGACAAACAAAUGAAAAAUAUAACUAGAAUAAAAAAGGCAUUCCCUUAAGAAGAAAAGGAAUUCCAGAGAAUCCAAAUUGCAAACCCACUAAACUGAAAGGAAAUUUUUAAAGAAAUCUUACCUACAAGUUUUUGGGAGAUGAGAUCAGCCCUAAAUCACGUCGAAAUCCCCAAACUAGCGUGCCGAUGAAAUCCAUCUCAAAGCUUGCAGAUAGAAUCGACUUGUUAACUUGCUGAUGAAAUAGAUGGCCUUAGAACACAUGCCAACGAAGACAUAACAACAUAAAACAACAUAAUAGAACAAUACGCAUACGACCAGAGAGCAUCUCAAGAAGAGACAACCUAGAUUGACUUUCUGAUUGAAUCGAUUUCUCGUUGAUGGAAUUAGAACUUUAUUUUUGCACAAAAAGAGCGGUGAUAUCACUCAAAACUUGAGUGCUAGUAAUAUCCCCCGAAUUGGCAUUCUGAAUAACAAGAGGAAAGAAGAAGAGAAGCAGGGAUAUUUGCCUUCUACUAUCUUUCCCCCAAAAAUAUCCGCUCCUGGAUUUUAG